GAUGAACGCUGGCGGCGUGCUAAUACAUGCAAGUCGAGCGAACAGACGAGGAGCUUGCUCCUCUGACGUUAGCGGCGGACGGGUGAGUAACACGUGGAUAACCUACCUAUAAGACUGGGAUAACUUCGGGAAACCGGAGCUAAUACCGGAUAAUAUAUUGAACCGCAUGGUUCAAUAGUGAAAGACGGUUUUGCUGUCACUUAUAGAUGGAUCCGCGCCGCAUUAGCUAGUUGGUAAGGUAACGGCUUACCAAGGCGACGAUGCGUAGCCGACCUGAGAGGGUGAUCGGCCACACUGGAACUGAGACACGGUCCAGACUCCUACGGGAGGCAGCAGUAGGGAAUCUUCCGCAAUGGGCGAAAGCCUGACGGAGCAACGCCGCGUGAGUGAUGAAGGUCUUCGGAUCGUAAAACUCUGUUAUUAGGGAAGAACAAAUGUGUAAGUAACUAUGCACGUCUUGACGGUACCUAAUCAGAAAGCCACGGCUAACUACGUG
rnacentral:rRNA from 1 species